CAUGCAAGUCGAACGGGGUAAAGACUUCGGUUUUACUUAGUGGCGAACGGGUGAGUAACGCGUGAGAAACCUGCCUUUCAGUGGGGGACAACAGUUGGAAACGACUGCUAAUACCGCAUAAUGUUAUUUGGGGGCAUCCCUGAAUAACCAAAGCUUAAUGUGCUGAAAGAUGGUCUCGCGUCUGAUUAGCUAGUUGGUGAGGUAACGGCUCACCAAGGCGACGAUCAGUAGCCGGUCUGAGAGGAUGAACGGCCACAUUGGGACUGAGAUACGGCCCAGACUCCUACGGGAGGCAGCAGUGGGGAAUAUUGGGCAAUGGGGGAAACCCUGACCCAGCAACGCCGCGUGAAGGAAGAAGGCCUUCGGGUUGUAAACUUCUUUUACCAGGGACGAAGAACGUGACGGUACCUGGAGAAAAAGCAACGGCUAACUACGUG
rnacentral:rRNA from 1 species